UUCAUCAUGGAUUCGUACUCUUCUCUGGCCAAGGAGUUUGCAAGAUCAAAGACGCAAUAUAAAGAUUUCGGCAGAGCCUUGCAAGCAUCUCUGCAGAAAACAAAGCAAAAAAAAAAAAGGUAAGUUAGUAUAAUCAAGUAAAACAAUGUGUCAAGUUUUGUAUUUGCACCCAACAGCCCAAAUAGUGUUUCAGUAUCAACAAUUUAC
rnacentral:lncRNA from 1 species